AUUGAACGCUGGCGGCAUGCUUUACACAUGCAAGUCGAACGGCAGCGCGGACUUCGGUCUGGCGGCGAGUGGCGAACGGGUGAGUAAUAUAUCGGAACGUACCCAGGGGUGGGGGAUAACGUAGCGAAAGUUACGCUAAUACCGCAUACGCUCUAUGGAGGAAAGCAGGGGAUCGCAAGACCUUGCGCGCUUGGAGCGGCCGAUAUCUGAUUAGCUAGUUGGUGGGGUAAAGGCUCACCAAGGCAACGAUCAGUAGCUGGUCUGAGAGGACGACCAGCCACACUGGGACUGAGACACGGCCCAGACUCCUACGGGAGGCAGCAGUGGGGAAUUUUGGACAAUGGGGGCAACCCUGAUCCAGCAAUGCCGCGUGAGUGAAGAAGGCCUUCGGGUUGUAAAGCUCUUUUGUCAGGGAAGAAACGGGCGUGGCUAAUAUCCAUGCCUAAUGACGGUACCUGAAGAAUAAGCACCGGCUAACUACGUGCCAGCCGCCGCAGUAAAAC
rnacentral:rRNA from 1 species